CACCGCGGUUAUACGAGAGGCCCAAAUUGAUGGAUUUCGGCGUAAAGCGUGGUUAAGGUUAAUUAAAAGUAAAGCCGAAUGUCCUCAAAGCUGUUAUACGCACCUGAGGUUAAGAAGCCCAACUACGAAGGUGGCUUUAUGAUACCUGACGCCACGAAAGCUGUGAUA
rnacentral:rRNA from 1 species